GUGCCCUAUACUCGUUGGAUAGAGUGGCGGACUCUAAACCCGCCUGCAGCGAGUUCGAUUCUCGCAGGGCACAC
rnacentral:tRNA from 1 species